UACGUAGGUGGCAAGCGUUGUCCGGAUUUACUGGGCGUAAAGGAUGCGUAGGCGGACAUUUAAGUCAGAUGUGAAAUACCCGAGCUUAACUUGGGUGCUGCAUUUGAAACUGGGUGUCUAGAGUGCAGGAGAGGUAAGUGGAAUUCCUAGUGUAGCGGUGAAAUGCGUAGAGUAUUAGGAAGAACACCAGUGGCGAAGGCGGACUUACUGGACUGAAUGACGUACUGAGACGAAAGCGUGGGGAGCAAACAGG
rnacentral:rRNA from 1 species